rnacentral:snRNA from 1 species
CUUAAACGACACUCUUUGCAAA